rnacentral:rRNA from 1 species
AGCGAACGCUGGCGGCAGGCUUAACACAUGCAAGUCGAGCGGGCACUUCGGUGUCAGCGGCAGACGGGUGAGUAACACGUGGGAACGUGCCCUUGGUUCGGAAUAACUCAGGGAAACUUGAGCUAAUACCGGAUACGCCCUUUGGGGAAGGUUACUGCGAAGGAUCGCCCGCGUCUGAUUAGCUAGUUGGUGGGGUAAGUGGCCUACCAAGGCGACGAUCUGUAGCUGGUCUGAGAGGACGACCAGCCACACUGGGACUGAGACACCGGCCCAGACUCCUAC